CAGGUACUUCUUUUGGCCGGAAGGGUUUCUAAGAGGAAGCAUCAAGAACAGUUCCAGGGUGAGCAAUUAUUUGGUUUCCGGCUUGACUUCUCAUCAGAGAUGAAUAAUUAGCAGCGAGUGAUUAACAUUCCAACAUACAACUCACAUCUCGAAGGCAUCCCGGCUUGACUUCCUGCCCGAGAUGAACGUCUGACGGCUGGCGGUUAUCAGUCAACAACAAUUCUAUUCAGUUCU